rnacentral:misc_RNA from 1 species
AACGCACAUUGCGCCCUUUGGCAUUCCGAAGGGCAUGCCUGUUCGAGCGUCAUUAUCAACCAUCAAGCAUGGCUUGUCGUUGGACUCCUGUCGUUGAAAUAAUACGACAGAUUUAAAAAGUAAUAGUGGUGCUGUGAUCGACCCUAGAUGCAACGAGCUCUCAGUAGCAUGCAUUGGAAGUGGUCGGCCAGCCUGACUUCCACCAGUAUUUUCUCAAAGUUGACCUCGGAUCAGGCAGGAAUACCUGCUGAACUUAA